AUGAAGUUGCAGACGGAGGCCGCCGCCGCCGCCGGGGGGGAGGGGAGGCUGAUGAUCCGGCAGGUGUGGGCGAACAACGUGGAGUCGGAGUUCCAGGCGAUCCGGCAGGUGGCGGAGCGGUUCCCGUACGUGUCCAUGGACACGGAGUUCCCGGGCGUGAUCCACUGCCCAAGCAAGCACCACGCGACGCUGACCCCGUCGGAGCGGUACGCGGCGCUCAUGGCGAACGUGGACGCGCUCCACCUGAUCCAGGUGGGCCUGGCGUUCGCGGCGUCGCCCGACGCGGCACCGGCGGUGGCGUUCGAGAUCAACCUGCGGGAGUUCGACCCGCGCGUGCACCGCCACAACCCCAGCUCGGUGGCCCUGCUGGCGGGCCACGGGCUGGACUUCGCGAAGCAGCGGAGGGAGGGCGUGGACGCGCGCGUGUUCGCGGCGCUGCUCAUGUCGUCGGGGCUGGUGUGCUCCGGGGCCAGCGCGCCGACGUGGGUGACGUUCCACUCGGCCUACGACUUCGGGUACCUGGUGAAGCUGCUCAUGGGGCGCAAGCUGCCGCGCACGCUGACCGAGUUCCUGGGCCUGGUGCGCGUCUUCUUCGGCGACGAGGUGUACGACGCGCGGCACGUCAUGGACAGCUGCGCCGGGCUCUACGGCGGGCUGGACGCCCUGGCGGCGCAGCUGGGCGUGAAGCGCGCGGCGGGGAUGUCCCACCAGGCCGGGUCGGACGCCGCGCUCACCUGGGACGUGUUCCGCCGCAUCCGGGACGUCUACUUCGCCGGCAACAGCAGGCAGGGCCAGGGCCAGGGCGUGGGCAACUUCGCCGGCGUGCUCUACGGGCUGGACCUGGAGCUCCACCUCGCCGCGCCCGCCGACAACGGCAACGGCAACGGCAACAGGAACAACAACAAGAACAAGUGCGGCAGCGGCAACGGCGCCGGCGGGCGGGGCAACAACAGGCGGGCCGUGGCGGCGCUGAGAUGA
rnacentral:rRNA from 1 species